rnacentral:tRNA from 1 species
GGGCCUGUGGUCUAGGGGUUUAUGACGUCGCCCUUACAAGGCGAAGAUCGCCAGUUCGAUUCUGGCCAGGCCCA